rnacentral:lncRNA from 1 species
GAGGAGUGUAGUGAAUUGAAUGGUUGUUCGGGGUGGUUCAGAAAUUCUCCUCACAAGAACUCGGGUUUUCACAGAUCUUCACCGCCGUAUCCUCCUAUCAAACGCGAAGAACUCAACCGCACAACCAAAAAUCAACUCAGUUUAAUUACUCUCCUCAAUUCAAUUGGGCGUCGUCAAUGCAUAAACAUCGAGAAGGAUUCAACAAUUUGCUUUCUCAGUUUAAUCGAAGAAUCAAGAACAAAUGAAUGACUCGUCAUCAAAUCGCAAUCAUCACUGAAAUCAAAUUUGUUACACUUGUUCUUGCGUACGGAAGAAAGGAGUUAAAAGGGAGAGGAGACCUACCGGAUUGUUCCUGCGUGUGGCUCAUGUAAUGAAUACAGCUUCCCUUCCUUCUUCGAUCUCCUUCUCUAAUCGAAUUCUUUUAUUUUCUCGUUGCAAAUCAGUGUUCCGAAUUGUGUUAUAGAAGGGUUCUGAUCAUUGUCCGGGGAGGGAGUGAAGAGGUUGGUGGUUAGGGAUUGGAAGAGAGAUUGAAAAUGGAGGAGAUGGAGGCUGAGAGGUUGAGGGUGAUGGAAGAAAGAUUGUUAUGUAGGUUUAAGAAGAUGAUUUCUGAAUCGUGAGGGAUUUCUGAUAUUUUAUUCUCAGAGUUGAAGGUGAUGAUGACUCGAGAAUCUGAAAAAAUGUGUUGAAGCUUCCAUUCCCGAAUCCGGAAAAUGAGAGGUGAAGGAUUUGCAAAAACUAAUUAUGUUAAGAGUUGGUGAGGGUGAAGAAGAUGGAUUUUCGGUUAGGAUCUUACAGUGAAACUGAACUUUUUCUGUUGGAGCUUUUUUUUUCUCUCUCUGCAGUUUCGGUUAUUUCUUUCUCUCUUUUUUUUUUGUUAUAGAGAGCUUUUUUUCACUAUUAUGGAGGGUUGAUUCCUUCUCCUUGUGAAAAUGGGGGCUGUAUGGUUUUAUAGAGAUCGAAGGAUUAACAGAGUUCAACUCUGUUAAUUUCAAUCAAUGGAGAGCAGUUUGCAGUUAGAACUCUGUUUGAAAUUCGGUGAAAUUAAAUCUGUUAGAUUCUUCUUUUAUAGGUUAACUGUUAAUGAUGUAUAUGAAUUUUUCAGGUUUUGGCGUUGCCGUCGUUUGGUUCGUACGUCUCCGUGUUUUGAUAGCGGUUUUGGCUUGCGUUAGCUGCAGCUGUUUUGGAUGCUUGAGCGUAGCAGCUUUGGAUGCGUUUGGAUUUGUAGUUUUCCUGCAGCAUUUGUACCUUCUGCAAAUUACUUUUUUCAUUUCAUGUACUUUUGAUUGUACUGCAACGCUUUUGCCAUGUUGUUGCAGCUUUCAUGUUUUGCAAAAAAAAUUGGACUCACACUUUGGUUACUUGGGCCAUGGACAAUGG